GACGAACGCGGGCGGAGUGCUUAACACAUGCAAGUCGAGCGGUAAGGCCCCUUCGGGGGUACAAGAGCGGCGAACGGGUGAGUAACACGUGAGCAAUCUGCCCUUCACCCGGGGAUAACUUCGGGAAAUCGGAGCUAAUACCCGAUACGACCACAUCGGGCCUCCGAGGGAGGUGGAACGCUCCGGCGGCGAAGGAUGAGCUCGCGGCCUAUCCGCUUGUUGGUGGGGUAACGGCACACCAAGGCAACGACGGGUAGCCGGCCUGAGAGGGUGACCGGCCACCCGGGGACUGAGACACGGCCCAGACUCCUACGGGAGGCAGCAGUGGGGACUGUUGCACAAUGGGCGAAAGCCUGAUGCAGCAACUCCGCGUGAGGGAUGACGGCCUUCGGGUUGUAAUCCUCUUUUAGCAGGGAAGGAGCGAAAGUGACGGUACCUGCAGAAAAAGCGCCAGCUAACUACGUGCCAGCAGCCGCCGCCGUAA
rnacentral:rRNA from 1 species